UUAAGUUCAGCGGGUAGUCCUGACUGAUUUGAGGUCUAAAAUUUAAAGUGCUGUAAUAGCGCAUUAGAAGCACCUCUAACUUUUGAAGAAAACGUCCUCAGCGAAAUAAUUAUUACGCCGAGUCAAGCCGUUUAUUUCAAAUGGGUUGCUCGUGUAUUUCAACUGAGCCGGCAAUUACGCCGACAGCAGUCAUAAUCCAA
rnacentral:misc_RNA from 1 species